UACGUAGGGGGCAAGCGUUGUCCGGAUUUAUUGGGCGUAAAGAGCGUGUAGGCGGCCAUACAGGUCAGCUGUGAAAACUCGAGGCUCAACCUCGAGACGUCGGUUGAACCCGUAUGGCUAGAGUCCGGAAGAGGAGAGUGGAAUUCCCGGUGUAGCGGUGAAAUGCGCAGAUAUCGGGAAGAACACCCGUGGCGAAGGCGGCUCUCUGGGACGGUACUGACGCUGAGACGCGAAAGCGUGGGGAGCGAACAGG
rnacentral:rRNA from 1 species